GGGAACUCUCCCCUACUAGCGCCCGUUAUCACAACGGGCCUGAAAACACUAGUACUAAUAAUAAUAGAGUCUGAAAGCAGAGGAGGAAAAAUACCAUGGCUGUUAACAGACCUGUAGCUUUCUGUGAAAUUAUCUCACCAUACUGGACACAUAUUUUAAAUUGUCAUGAUAGAGGCAAAAUGGUAUUAGAAGCAACUAUUUGGGUCAUUUCUAAAGAUAUAAAACCUCAUGGGCUAAUCUAAUUAAUACAACACUCUCCUGUGUUCCAAUAACUGAAGGAAGAGCUGGAGGGCUCAGGAGGAAGUUGGGAGGCCAUUCUCGUGAGCAGCCCUACCUGGGUGCAGUGCUAGCCCAAGUAGGACUUGUCGUGGGAACCACCAGGGUUGCUCCCAAUCCCGACACUCCUCCACUGGGUACCCCAGGUUUGAAACCCAGGCGAAAAGUGAGGUUCCAGAGCAAUGAGAACAACCUUUCCCCUAGUGCUAGAAGAAUACACUAACUUGGAUCCUACAACAGUAUUGAAGAUUGCAUACAUGAACUGGGGAAAAGAAAAACUGGGGAAAAGAAAAACUGUGGACAAGCCAGCAGAAGAGUUUUUGCAGGUGUGGAUGGAGUCAACCUCAUACACAAACACCCUCCCCAAAACUUCUGCGGUGUUCUGGAGACUCUACAAUGCACUCUCAGUUCACAUGAGACUCCGGCUACAGCAAAGCAGCAUGAGCUCCUAGACUCUAGUCUUACUUCCAGCAUGACAGACACUCUCUGAAUUUCACCAUUUCAACAGCUGCUUUAUCACUGUCCACCUUCUCCAAAGAGGAAAAUAAAAUGUGUAUUUUGGACAUAGAGAGUGCAUGUUCUUCAGGGAAAAGAGGGUUCUUUACAUCAUGAGGCAUUGCUGCAGCUGCUCCUGCUUCUCAUCUCAUUCAAGCCAGAAAGCAGGGAAUAGAGCUGCAGGAAGUGUGGAGUGUCCACAAGCAGCUUACCAACUAUCAUUCUGCUCCGACUUUUAAAAAAGCAAGGGAUGCCCAGGACGCUUGGUGGCUUGGUGUGACGAAAUCUGUGGCAGCUCAGAAUGAGCCACUAAUGAAAAUUGCUAAAAACUUCUCCUGAUGAAGCCCUGCUAAGAGCAAGAGGAAACAGGCUACAAACUACCUAGAUACCUGCUUACCUAGGAUACCUGUUGAGAGUAACAGCAAAUAACACCAAGCACUGAUCUUUUGGAGCAGUAGCAAGCCUGAGCAAAUGUAAGCAUUGACCCUGUGACACACUACAGGAAGCUCUUGAUUUAUUGUACAUCUGAAAAGGACCUUUUGAUCACCUUUUGACCCUUCAGCUACAACCUUGGGAUUCUUUCAUUGCCAUUGUAUGCUUCUUUAUUAUUAAUACAUUUAUACAAUUGUCCAUUUUGUGAAUUGUCACAGAUGCGUUAGGAAUUUGUUUGUAUGGCAUCUUUUGGAUACAAUGGUUUUUUUGGUAAUACGAUAUUGAUUCAUGGUGUGUAAUUUUUUCACAGAUUACUAUACACGGUUUAUACACAUAAUUUUAUGUAUAUGGUUUUUUUCUCACAUACUAUCUAUGACAAAUAUUGAACAAAAAUGCAUUGACAUCUCAACAACAUCCCAAAGAAAAAACGUUAAACAGGCAAUAUUUAAACUAAUGAAAUGUACUGCCCCCUAGUGUAUCAACAUAAUACUUUAGAAAUAAAAACUGGUGCA